UACGAAGGGGGCUAGCGUUGUUCGGAAUUACUGGGCGUAAAGCGCACGUAGGCGGACAUUUAAGUCAGGGGUGAAAUCCCGGGGCUCAACCCCGGAACGGCCUUUGAUACUGGGUGUCUUGAGUUCGGAAGAGGUGAGUGGAAUUGCGAGUGUAGCGGUGAAAUGCGUAGAUAUCUGGAGGAACACCGGUGGCGAAGGCGGCAUCCUGGACCGGCAUUGACGCUGAGGCGCGAAAGCUAGGGGAGCAAACGGGG
rnacentral:rRNA from 1 species